CUCAGAUUGAACGCUGGCGGCAUGCCUUACACAUGCAAGUCGAACGGCAGCGGACCUUCGGGUGCCGGCGAGUGGCGAACGGGUGAGUAAUAUAUCGGAACGUACCUUUCAGUGGGGGAUAACGUAGCGAAAGUUACGCUAAUACCGCAUAUUCUGUGAGCAGGAAAGCAGGGGGAUCGCAAGACCUUGCGCUGAUUGAGCGGCCGAUAUCAGAUUAGCUAGUUGGUGAGGUAAAGGCUCACCAAGGCGACGAUCUGUAGCGGGUCUGAGAGGAUGAUCCGCCACACUGGAACUGAGACACGGUCCAGACUCCUACGGGAGGCAGCAGUGGGGAAUUUUGGACAAUGGGCGCAAGCCUGAUCCAGCCAUGCCGCGUGAGUGAAGAAGGCCUUCGGGUUGUAAAGCUCUUUCGGCCGGGAAGAAAUCGCACAGGUUAAUACCCUGUGUGGAUGACGGUACCGGAAUAAGAAGCACCGGCUAACUACGUG
rnacentral:rRNA from 1 species